GAAAGUGGAGCACUCCAUGAGUAAAGUGGCGUACGGGUGAGUAACACGUGGAUCAUCUACCCUCUAGUGGGGAAUACCGCUGGGAAACCGGCGACAAUACCGCAUAAGCUCGAGAGAGGAAAGCAGCAAUGCGCUGGAGGAGGAGUCCGCGGUCGAUUAGUUAGUUGGCAGGGUAAAGGCCUACCAAGACUGUGAUCGAUAGCCGGCCUGAGAGGGCACACGGCCACACUGGCACUAAAACACGGGCCAGACUCCUACGGGAGGCAGCAGUGGGGAAUCUUGCACAAUGGAGGAAACUCUGAUGCAGCGACGCCGCGUGAGCGAUGAAGCCCUUCGGGGUGUAAAGCUCUUUCGGCAGGGAAGAUUAUGACGGUACCUGCAGAAGCAGCUGCGGCUAACUACGUGCCAGCAGCCGCGGUAAUACGUAGGCAGCAAGCGUUGUUCGGAGUUACUGGGCGUAAAGGGUGCGUAGGCGGCUUUUUAAGUUUGGUGUGAAAUCUCCCGGCUCAACUGGGAGGGUGCGCCGAAUACUGAGAGGCUAGAGUGCGGGAGAGGAAAGUGGAAUUCCUGGUGUAGCGGUGAAAUGCGUAGAUAUCAGGAGGAACACCGGUGGUGUAAACGGCUUUCUGGACCGAAACUGACGCUGAUGCACGAAAGCGUGGGUA
rnacentral:rRNA from 1 species